AGUUCAACUUGGAACUGUCACUUGGAGUAGAACCUCCUGUGAGAGAGAGUUCUACUUGGAGAUCUACUGGCAGUUCGACUUGGAAUGGAGGCUGAUUAAAGAAUCUGCUGACUGGACUGGCACGAAAUCCUGUGUCAGCUUGCUGGGUGAGUGACGGAGAUUCUUGCCUUGGCUUUUUGGAAGAGGCUGUGUUGGUAGAACCCUGGCUGAAGACACCACUGGGACUUCUGGCUGAGGAUUACCAGACUGGGGCAGAACUUGGCUUCUCAGGAGAAGGACUGAAUAUGACUAUCCAGUUUUGAAGAGUCCAGAGGAUUUUGGAAUUCCCAUUUGUCCAUUAUUAUCUCAAAUAUCUUCCUCAAAUCCAGUUACCAGCACUAUCUGAAUGAUGAACUCAACCAAGAUGGAUGAAGAUUCAUCGUGCUUACAAAUUCCAUGAAUAGGGGAAAAAUGACUUCCAGCCACCAGAAACUAUGAGUUGUCCCUUUGCCACUUGUGCUGAUUAAACUUAAGCCUACCCAACACUAGAUUCUGUAUGUACUUAAGAGCGUGUUGCAGACUUCUAGGGUUGUAUUUGUGUCAACUUCAUAAUGGGCCACUUUAGUAAGUAACUCUUUCUGAAAGCUGCUUAAGUUUGGUUGACUAAAUUGAUUCUCAUAUGAUAAUCUGAAUGUGGUGUGAAUGGGGUAGAAAACACUGAUAGAGUUUGAGUCAACAGUGUUAGAACAGAGAUUCUGGG
rnacentral:lncRNA from 1 species